rnacentral:rRNA from 1 species
AUUGAACGCUGGCGGCAUGCUUUACACAUGCAGUCGAACGGCAGCGCGGGCUUCGGCCUGGCGGCGAGUGGCGAACGGGUGAGUAAUGCAUCGGAACGUGCCCAGUAGUGGGGGAUAGCCCGGCGAAAGCCGGAUUAAUACCGCAUACGACCUGAGGGUGAAAGCGGGGGACCGAAAGGCCUCGCGCUAUUGGAGCGGCCGAUGUCGGAUUAGCUAGUUGGUGGGGUAAAGGCUUACCAAGGCGACGAUCCGUAGCUGGUCUGAGAGGACGACCAGCCACACUGGGACUGAGACACGGCCCAGACUCCUACGGGAGGCAGCAGUGGGGAAUUUUGGACAAUGGGGGCAACCCUGAUCCAGCCAUGCCGCGUGCGGGAAGAAGGCCUUCGGGUUGUAAACCGCUUUUGUUCGGGAAGAAAUCCUCUGGGCUAAUACCCCGGGGGGAUGACGGUACCGGAAGAAUAAGCACCGGCUAACUACGUG